AUUGAACGCUGGCGGCAUGCCUAACACAUGCAAGUCGAACGAGUGGCGGACGGGUGAGUAAUGUCUGGGAAACUGCCUGAUGGAGGGGGAUAACUACUGGAAACGGUAGCUAAUACCGCAUACCAUCAGAUGUGCCCAGAUGGGAUUAGCUAUUUGGUGGGGUAACGGCUCACCAAGGCGACGAUCCCUAGCUGUUCUGAGAGGAUGACCAGACACACUGGAACGGAGACACGGCCCAGACUCGUACGGGAGGCAGAAGUGGGGAAUAUUGGAAAAGGAGGGCAAGCCGGAUGCAGCAAUGCCGCGUGUAUGAAGAGGGCCUGCGGGUUGUAAAGUACUUUCAGCGAGGAGGCGUUACCCGCAGAAGAAGCACCGGCUAACUCCGUGCCAGCAGCCGCGGUAAUAC
rnacentral:rRNA from 1 species